UACGAAGGGGGCUAGCGUUGUUCGGAUUUACUGGGCGUAAAGCGCACGUAGGCGGAUCGUUAAGUCGGGUGUGAAAGCCCCGGGCUCAACCUGGGAAUUGCAUUCGAGACUGAAUAGCUAGGGUACGGUAGAGGGAAGUGGAAUUUCCGGUGUAGCGGUGAAAUGCGUAGAUAUCGGAAGGAACAUCAGUGGCGAAAGCGACUUCCUGGACCAGUACCAACGUUCAGGCACGAAAGCGUGGGGAUCAAACAGG
rnacentral:rRNA from 1 species